rnacentral:tRNA from 1 species
GGGAGGAUGGCCGAGUGGUUAAGGCGCUGUGUUUAGGCCGCAGUGGGAAACCUCGUGGGUUCGAAUCCCACUCCUCUCA